UGCAUAGGAAUCUGCCUGGUAGUGGGGGACAACAUGUGGAAACGCAUGCUAAUACCGCAUACGCCCUACGGGGGAAAGCGGGGGAGUCUUCGGACCUCGCGCUAAUAGAUGAGCCUAUGUCAGAUUAGCUAGUUGGUGAGGUAAUGGCUCACCAAGGCGACGAUCUGUAGCUGGUCUGAGAGGAUGAUCAGCCACACUGGAACUGAGACACGGUCCAGACUCCUACGGGAGGCAGCAGUGGGGAAUAUUGGACAAUGGGCGAAAAGCCUGAUCCAGCAAUACCGCGUGUGUGAAGAAGGCCUGAGGGUUGUAAAGCACUUUCAAUAGUGAGGAAUACCUAGGGAAAUUAAAUACUUUUCAGACUGACAUUAGCUAUAGAAGAAGCACCGGCUAACUCCCGUGCCCAGCCCGCUGCGG
rnacentral:rRNA from 1 species